rnacentral:rRNA from 1 species
AAUCAACGCUGGCGGCGUGCCUAAUACAUGCAAGUCGAACGCGAAAGUGGAGCAAUCCAUGAGUAGAGUGGCAAACGGGUGAGUAACGCGUGGGUGACCUGCCUUCGAGUGGGGGAUAACGUUUCGAAAGGAACGCUAAUACCGCAUGACAUCCUGCCUUUUAACAGGUGGAGAUCAAAGCUGGGGAUCGCAAGACCUAGCGCUUGAAGAGGGGCCCGCGUCCGAUUAGCUAGUUGGUGGGGUAACGGCUCACCAAGGCAACGAUCGGUAGCCGGCCUGAGAGGGCGGACGGCCACACUGGGACUGAGACACGGCCCAGACUCCUACGGGAGGCAGCAGUAGGGAAUUGUUCGCAAUGGGCGCAAGCCUGAC